GUUCGCUGUCACCCGGGGAACGCGGCGGCGGGGUGGCGGGUCCCGGGUCGCCCCCAGGACGACCCCUUCGGGGGUCGCUGCCAUUCGGGGGACGCGGCAGGCACGGCGACACGCGGGAGACGCAGCGGGUCCCGGGUCGCUCCGCAGGACGGGCCUUCGGAGGUCGCUGUCACCCGGGGUAAGCGCUGGGCGCGGCGACACCCGGAGACGCGGCGGGUCUGGGUCGCCUACAGGGCGAGUCCGCCAGGGGUCGCUGUCACCCGGGGAACUCGGCGGCGGGGGUGGCGGGUCCCGGGUCGUUCCGCAGGACGAGCCCUUCGGGGGUCGCUGUCACUCGGGGAACGAGGCAGACGCGGAGACACCCGGGAAACGCGGCGGGUCUUGGGUCGCCCCGCAGGGGGAGUCUGCCAUGGGUCGGUGUCACCCGGGGUAAGCGACAGGUGCGGCGACACCCAGGAGACGCGGCGGCGGGGACGGCGGGUACCCGGUCGCCCCGCAGGACGAGCCCGCCGAGGGUCGCUGUCACCCUGGGUAAGUGGCAGGCGGGGCGACACCCGGGAGUCGCGGCGGCGGGGACGGCGGGUCCUGGGUCGCCCCGCAAGACGAGUCUGCCGAGGGUCGCUGUCACCCGGGGUAAGCGCCAGGCGCGGCGACGCCCGGGAGACGCGGCAGGUCCCGGGUCGCCCCGCAGGACGACUCCGCCUGGGGUCGCUAUCACCCGGGGGACGCGGCGGCGGGGGUGGCGGCUCCUGGAUUGCCUGCAGGACGAGUCCGCCGAGGGCGGUUGUCACCCGGGGGACCCGGCGGAGGGGACAGCGGGUCUCAGGUCGCCCCGCAGGACGAGCCCGCCGAGGGUCGCUGUCUCCGGGGGGACGCGGAGGGGGUGGCGGGUCCCGGGUCGCCUGCAGGACGAGUCCGCCGGGAGUCGCUGUCACCCGGGGCCCGCGUCCGCUCACUGCGUGGCGUGCAGUUUCUGGUGGUCGAGGAGGUGGACCAUCCAGGGGAAGGCCUUCCCGCAGACGCCGCACUCGAAGGGCCGCUCGCGGCCGGAGGGCUCCGCGCGCCGGUCUCCAUCCGCGUCCUGGGCGCAGGGGCCUCCAUCCGCCGCUUCCAACGGGCCGGCCUCCCCGGGUCCCUCGCCCCCGCCCCGCCGGGGCCUCUUGCGCAGCGGCUGCAGCUCGUGGAUCUUCCGAUGCUCCUCCAGGACGGAGGCGUGCAGAAAGGCCUUGCCGCACUCGGGGCACGAGAAUGGCCCCUCUUCCAGGUGGCGCUUCUGGUGCUCGAUGA
rnacentral:lncRNA from 1 species